rnacentral:rRNA from 1 species
UACAGAGGUCUCAAGCGUUGUUCGGAUUCAUUGGGCGUAAAGGGUGCGUAGGUGGCGCCGUAAGUCAGGUGUGAAAUCUCGGGGCUCAACCCCGAAACUGCACUUGAUACUGCGGUGCUCGAGUACUGGAGAAGAGAUUGGAAUUUACGGUGUAGCAGUGAAAUGCGUAGAUAUCGUAAGGAAGACCAGUGGCGAAGGCGAAUCUCUGGACAGUUACUGACACUGAGGCACGAAGGCCAGGGGAGCAAACGGG